rnacentral:rRNA from 1 species
UACGAAGGGGGCUAGCGUUGCUCGGAAUCACUGGGCGUAAAGGGUGCGUAGGCGGGUUUUUAAGUCAGAGGUCAAAUCCUGGAGCUCAACUCCAGAACUGCCUUUGAUACUGAAAGUCUUGAGUAUGGGAGAGGUGAGUGGAACUGCGAGUGUAGAGGUGAAAUUCGUAGAUAUUCGGAAGAACACCAGUGGCGAAGGCGGCUCACUGGACCGGCAUUGACGCUGAGGUGCGAAAGCGUGGGGAGCAAACAGG